rnacentral:rRNA from 1 species
GAUGAACGCUGGCGGCGUGCCUAAUACAUGCAAGUCGAGCGAACAGACGAGGAGCUUGCUCCUCUGACGUUAGCGGCGGACGGGUGAGUAACACGUGGAUAACCUACCUAUAAGACUGGGAUAACUUCGGGAAACCGGAGCUAAUACCGGAUCAUAUAUUGAACCGCAUGGUUCAAUAGUGAAAGACGGUUUUGCUGUCACUUAUAGAUGGAUCCGCGCCGCAUUAGCUAGUUGGUAAGGUAACGGCUUACCAAGGCGACGAUGCGUAGCCGACCUGAGAGGGUGAUCGGCCACACUGGGACUGAGACACGGUCCAGACUCCUACGGGAGGCAGCAGUAGGGAAUCUUCCGCAAUGGGCGAAAGCCUGACGGAGCAACGCCGCGUGAGUGAUGAAGGUCUUCGGAUCGUAAAGCUCUGUUAUUAGGGAAGAACAAAUGUGUAAGUAACUAUGCACGUCUUGACGGUACCUAAUCAGAAAGCCCCGGCUAACUACGUG